AAAGGAAUUGACGGGGGCCCGCACAAGCAGCGGAGCGUGUGGUUUAAUUCGAUGAUACACGAAGAACCUUACCAGGGUUUGACAUGCAAGUGGUAGGGAUCCGAAAGGUGACCGACCCUUCGGGGAGCUUGCACAGGUGCUGCAUGGCUGUCGUCAGCUCGUGUCGUGAGAUGUUCGGUUAAGUCCGCUAACGAGCGCAACCCUCGCCGUGUGUUACAAGUGUCACGCGGGACCGCCGGUCUUAAGCCGGAGGAAGGUGGGGAUGACGUCAAGUCAGCAUGGCCUUUAUGUCCUGGGCUACACACACGCUACAAUGGCCAGUACAACAGGUAGCGAAGUCGCGAGGCGGAGCCAAUCCUCAAAGCUGGUCUCAGUUCAGAUCGCAGGCUGCAACUCGCCUACGUGAAGAUGGAGUUGCUAGUAACCGCAGGUCAGCUAUACUGCGGUGAAUACGUUCCCGGGCCUUGUACACACCGCCCGU
rnacentral:rRNA from 1 species